UUCUUUAUAUUUACGAUGUGAGACUUGGUUGACACACACUUGAAGAACCACUAUGUGACCCUUAUAUAUAUCUCUAUUGUUUAUCAGCUGCUACUUCUCUUGUGGGACAUACUGCCCGACGACUUUAAUGUUAGGAAUAUUUUAAACACAAUCUGUCUAAGAUCUUUGACCACAAUCUAAGUGAGAGUAUCCCACAUCACAAAACUAGUUGCAGGAUCAUGCAACACUCAUAAACUCCAUGUUAGUAUAUGAUAUUGUCUACUUUGAACCGUGAUCAAGCCCACGCGUAUUUGAUUUUGUACUCCUCACAAAAGGUCUCAUACGAAUGAAGUUGUUUGACUGCUUAUAUUCAAAACAAAUCUUUUUCAUACUUAUGAUGUGGGACUUGUGUUGACACUCACCCUACACAAAUAAUGUCAACUUGGGUUAACACACACUUGAAGAACCACUACGUGACUCUUAUGCCUCCACUGUUUAUCCGUUGUCACUUGCUAUUCAAGUGAGAGCAUCCCACAUCACAGAACUACUUCUAAGGUCGCGCAACACUCAUAAAUUGUACAUUAGUUAAAUUUUUGUCUACUUUCAAUCAUGACCAAACUCGCACGUAUGUAUUUUUGGACUUCUCACAAAAGGUAUCAUACUAAUGAAAUUGUUUGACUAUUUAUACUCGAU
rnacentral:lncRNA from 1 species